rnacentral:lncRNA from 10 species
AUUUUUCCAGGUACAGUCUGUCACAGGCUCUCAGCUAGGAAAGGAAAAUCUCCCCAGCCCUUGCACUUCCCAGCUCAGGUGACGCCCCGCCAUGCUUCGGCUGGUCUUCCUUGGGCUACUGCACCCACUGUUCAACUACUCCCAAUGAGAUGAACCACGUACCUCAGUUGUAAAUGCAGAAAUCAACCAUCUUCUGUGUCAAUCAUGGUGGGAGCUGCAGACCGGAGCUGGAACUAUUCAGCCAUCUUGGAACGGGAGCCCUCUAGGUGAUAUAUUUUGAAGUCAGAAAUGGAAAAUGUUGUCCAGAGUUCAGGGGAAGAGGAUAUUGGGUUCUUUUCUCUGAGGUCACUGUUUCAAAACGUUACAGAAGAAAAGGCUAAUAUUGCUUCAGCCCUUGCCCAGAUCCCACAGAAGUUAUAAAGAGUAUGCUAUGAGUUUAUCAGGGAUUCACCAUGAUCAACCUGUGAAGCCCCUGAUCGAGCAAACUUCUGGAUCGAGUUUGUCAUGUGCCACAAAGGAGCCAAGCACCUGUGAUCAGCUGCCCACAGCCUCACCUGGUUCCAGCACUACUCUAUAGAUGUGAUUGGGUUCCUGCUGGCCUGUGUGGCAACUGCUAUAUUCUUGGUCACAAGAUGUUGUUUAUUUUCCUGUCAAAAAUUUAAUAACACUAGAAAGAUAGAAAAGAGGGAAUAGAUCUUUCCAAAUUUAGGGAAGACCUGAUGGGGUAAUCCUGUUAAUUCCAGACACAAAGAAUUUAGUGAAAACAUGUUCCCUUCCUAUUUUCAUAUUAUCUAUUCUGAUAUUUUAUCUUAGCUAAGUAGCCUAGAAUUCCACGAUCAUGAACUUGUGAGUAUAUCUCAUUCUUUCAUUGUAUUUUCCUAGGUGUGCUUACUCUCUUCUCUCACUUUGUGACACAAGGACAUGAAUACAUGUAAAUUUUCAUAUUUCUGAUAUCACUGUUUCCAUGAUGUCAUCACUUCUCUAACCUUAAGUGAUAGGGUGACCUGCAAUAUGCUGAUUCCUGGUGUUUGCACAAACACAUGGAUGUAAAGAAGUAAAAAAUGUAAAAUUCACAAAAUUCAGUAAACCACACAAAUCAAUGAAGCAUUCUAUGACAUUAGCUUGUUAUGAGAAACAUAAUGAUUUUUCUUUUUCAAUUUAAAUAAGCCCUUCUACAUACCCAGCAUUACUGAUCUCAGACAAUGAAUUACUAAAAAUGACAAUAGAGCAUUACACUCAGAAUAGUUUGCUAUAUUUCCACAUACCUCAUCUAGAUGUCAUAGCCUACAUUUCUGCCAUCACUCAACCAAGAUUUUUUAUGUGUUCUUGAUGAUAAACAGUUCUUAUUAUUGUUCUCAAAUAAUAAAAGAAACUGAUAUUUUCUUACUUAGAGAAAAUGUCCAUAAGAUAUUCAAGUUAAACAGAUUAUUUUGAGAUAAGUAACCAUUAGAAAUAUAUGAUUUUAAUUACUGAUUUUAUAAAAUUUUAAUUGACAGUACACUUAAGAAGAUUUAAAUGUCUAUUCUUUAAAAAUGAUGAAUACUCAUAAUUCUUAUCUCUAUAAUCAAAAGUAUAGUUUACUGUAGAAAAAUAAAGAGAUGCUUGCUCUGAAAGCAAGAUCAGUAUACUGCUUUCCAGCCUCAAAAUUCGAGAAUUGCAAAUUCAUCAAGUAAUGGCUUACAUGGUAAAAAUUUAAGGUAUUAGAAUACCUGCUUAACAAAUAUUAGUAUAUAUUAAAUAUUUAGAUAAGUAAAGCUCUACCCUAAAUAUAGUUUAAUAAUCUUUACACUAAGCAAAUAUGUUACACUUUUCAUUUUGUUUACUGUCAUAUAAUCUUAGUGACAUGCCUUUAAAUUUUAAUUCAAGGACUUGAUUUAUUAAAUGAAUAAAUUGGCUCAACUGGCUUUUUGAAAAUUUUGAAAUUGUUACACAUGUCGAUAAAGUACAUCCAUAAAUUAAUUCCAAUUUUAAAAUGACUAUAUAAAAAGAAAUAUAAGUAUUUUUCUUGCAUGUGUAUACAAUUAAAUGUAAAUAAAAUUAGUAGGUUUUUAAAAUUUCUUAAGUUUUUACAUUGAUAUGUUUCUGACUUUUA